GAUCAUGGCUCAGGAUGAACGCUAGCUACAGGCUUAACACAUGCAAGUCGAGGGGCAGCAUGGUCUUAGCUUGCUAAGGCUGAUGGCGACCGGCGCACGGGUGAGUAACACGUAUCCAACCUGCCGUCUAAUCUUGGACAGCCUUCUGAAAGGAAGAUUAAUACAAGAUGGCAUCAUGGGUCCGCAUGUUCACAUGAUUAAAGGUAUUCCGGUAGACGAUGGGG
rnacentral:rRNA from 1 species